AAAUCAUGCUCGAUCGACGGCGAAGGUGCUCCACUGUGCUUAAGAGAAGGAGAAGAAGUUAAAGGAGGAGAAGCCAAUGGAGACAAAGAAGAUCAGAUGGGGGAGGUGUGGGGCAGUAGCGGAGAUUUAGGACAUUUGAAGGAUAUUCAAAAAAGUAGAAGGAGAGUUAGGAUACCUCUAAAAAUUCGAUAGUGGAGAUAGGAGGAGGAGGAGGAUCGAGGAAGCAAAUGGGACUUGGGACA
rnacentral:lncRNA from 1 species